CAAUAGCGUAUAUUAAAGUUGUUGCAGUUAAAAGCUCGUAGUUGGAUUUCUGGUAGGAGCGACCGUGCCGAACUUGAUUGUUCGAGUAUUGUGUUGUCUUCAGCCAUCCUCGUGGAGAACUUUUCUAACAUUAACUUGUUGGGAUUGGGACCCGCGUCGUUUACUGUGAAAAAAUUAGAGUGUUUAAAGCAGGCAUUAGCUUGAAUACAUUAGCAUGGAAUAAUAAGAUAGGACUUUGGUACUAUUUUGUUGGUUUGCAUACCAAAUUAAUGAUCAACAGGAACAGUUUGAGGAUAUUCGUAUGAACAUGUCAGAGGUGAAAUUCUUGGAUUUUGAUCAGACGAACUACUGCGAAAGCAUUUAUCAAGGAUGUUUUCAUUAA
rnacentral:rRNA from 1 species